rnacentral:rRNA from 1 species
UUAAAAAGCUCGUAGUUGAACUUCUGUUCGAUUGUCUCCACUUAUUGUGUGACGAUAAAUUGAACAUCCCCUUUGAAAACCUGGCACCGUCUUAAGUGACGGGUUAGGGUUUCUUGGAAUUUACAUUGAAAAAAUUAGAGUGUUUCAAGCAGGCGAUUCGCUGGAAUACAUUAGCAUGGAAUAAUAGAAGAUGACCUCUGAGAUCAUUUUGUUGGUACAUUGGCGGGAGGUAAUGAUUAACAGGGACAGUUGGGGGCAUUAGUAUUUAAUUGUCAGAGGUGAAAUUCAUUGAUUAAUUAAAGACUAACUUAUGCGAAAGCAUUUGCCAAGGAUGUUUUCAUUAAUCAAGAACGAAAGUUAGGGGAUCAAAGACGAUCAGAUACCGUCCUAGUCUUAACCAUAAACUAUACCGACUAGGGAUUGGCGAGGACCUUUAAUGCCUCGUCAGCCACCUUAUGAGAAAAUCAAAGUCUUUGGGUUCUGGGGGGAGUAUGGUCCAAGGCUGAA